GACGAACGCUGGCGGCGUGCUUAACACAUGCAAGUCGAACGGUGAAGCGCCUUCCUUUUUGGUGGGUGUGGAUGAGUGGCGAACGGGUGAGUAACACGUGAGUAACCUGCCCCCUUCUUCUGGAUAACCGCAUGAAAGUGUGGCUAAUACGGGAUAUUCUGGGUCUGUCGCAUGAUGGGUCUGGGAAAGAUAUUGUUUCGGUGGGGGAUGGGCUCGCGGCCUAUCAGCUUGUUGGUGGGGUGAUGGCCUACCAAGGCGGUGACGGGUAGCCGGCCUGGGAGGGUGGACGGUCACACUGGGACUGAGACACGGCCCAGACUCCUACGGGAGGCAGCAGUGGGGAAUAUUGCACAAUGGGCGCAAGCCUGAUGCAGCGACGCCGCGUGAGGGAUGGAGGCCUUCGGGUUGUGAACCUCUUUCGCCAGUGAAGCAGGCCUGCCUCGUUUGUGGGUGGGUUGACGGUGGCUGGAUAAGAAGCGCCGGCUAACUACGUG
rnacentral:rRNA from 1 species